UAGUCGAAAGAUUUAGCUAAUACCGCAUACGACUGAGGGUGAAAGCGGGGGACCCGCAAGGCCUCGCGCGAUAGGAGCGGCCGAUGUCUGAUUAGCUAGUUGGUGGGGUAAAAGGCCCACCAAGGCGACGAUCAGUAGCUGGUCUGAGAGGACGAUCAGCCACACUGGGACUGAGACACGGCCCAGACUCCUACGGGAGGCAGCAGUGGGGAAUUUUGGACAAUGGGGGCAACCCUGAUCCAGCAAUGCCGCGAGUGUGAAGAAGGCCUUCGGGUUGUAAAGCACUUUUGUCCGGAAAGAAAUCCCUUGCUUUAAUACAGCGGGGGGAUGACGGUACCGGAAGAAUAAGCACCGGCUAACUACGUGCCAGCAGCCGCGGUAAUACGUAGGGUGCGAGCGUUAAUCGGAAUUACUGGGCGUAAAGCGUGCGCAGGCGUUUUUGUAAGACAGGCGUGAAAUCCCCGAGCUCAACUUGGGAAUGGCGCUAGUGACUGCAAG
rnacentral:rRNA from 1 species